UUAUUUUGUUUAUUAAAACUGUUACAUUCAUAAGACUGGGGUAUGUAUAAAAUUGAUGACUCUCUUUGCAGACUUACGUCUUUUAAAAGAGCCAAACGGUGCACAGGUGUAUGUGGAUGUGAAGGGUGAGAGGUCAAUGAAGACACUCUCGAUUUAAUCACUAGUGAUCCUUCCGCAGGUUCACCUACGGAAA
rnacentral:misc_RNA from 1 species